rnacentral:rRNA from 1 species
UCGAGCGGCAGCGCGGGGCAACCUGGCGGCGAGCGGCGAACGGGUGAGUAAUGCAUCGGAACAUGUCUUGUCGUGGGGGAUAGCCCGGCGAAAGCCGGAUUAAUACCGCAUACGCCCGAGAGGGGAAAGUGGGGGACCGCAAGGCCUCACGCGAUUGGGUUGGCCGAUGUCCGAUUAGCUAGUUGGUGGGGUAAAGGCUCACCAAGGCGAUGAUCGGUAGCUGGUCUGAGAGGAUGAUCAGCCACACUGGGACUGAGACACGGCCCAGACUCCUACGGGAGGCAGCAGUGGGGAAUUUUGGACAAUGGGGGCAACCCUGAUCCAGCCAUUCCGCGUGAGUGAAGAAGGCCUUCGGGUUGUAAAGCUCUUUUGUCCGGAACGAAACGGGUGCGGCUAAUACUCGCGCCUACUGACGGUACCGGAAGAAUAAGCACCGGCUAACUACGUGCCAGCAGCCGCGGUAAUACGUAGGGUGCGAGCGUUAAUCGGAAUUACUGGGCGUAAAGCGUGCGCAGGCGGUUUUGUAAGCCAGAUGUGAAAUCCCCGGGCUUAACCUGGGAAUGGCAUUUGGGACUGCAAGGCUGGAGUGCGGCAGAGGAGACUGGAAUUCCUGGUGUAGCAGUGAAAUGCGUAGAUAUCAGGAGGAAUACCGAUGGCGAAGGCAGGUCUCUGGGCUGACACUGACGCUCAUGCACGAAAGCGUGGGGAGCAAACAGGAUUAGAUACCCUGGUAGUCCACGCC